GUGAUUUUCAAAAGGGGAGUCCCUCUUCACCAGAGAAGGCCCCGUCACUACACCUUUACACUCGUGCAUUUGUCCCUUUUUUUACCUUUAACCCUGUGCAAUAGAAGCAGUCCCUUUGUAAAAACUUUGAUAAACGAAAGA
rnacentral:misc_RNA from 1 species